AACGCGAAGAACCUUACCAGGUCUUGACAUCCAGAGAACUUUCCAGAGAUGGAUUGGUGCCUUCGGGAACUCUGAGACAGGUGCUGCAUGGCUGUCGUCACCUCGUGUCGUGAGAUGUUGGGUUAAGUCCCGCAACGAGCGCAACCCUUGUCCUUAGUUGCCAGCGAUUCGGGCGGGCACUCUAGGGAGACUGCCGGUGACAAACCGGAGGAAGGGGGGGACGACGUCAAGUCAUCAUGGCCCUUACGACCUGGGCUACACCCCUGCUACAAUGGGCGGUACAAAGGGGUGCGAAACCGCGAGGGGGAGCGAAUCCCUUAAAACCGGUCUAGUCCGGAUUGGAGUCUGCAACUCGACUCCAUGAAGUCGGAAUCGCUAGUAAUCGCGAAUCAGAAUGUCGCGGUGAAUACGUUCCCGGGUCUUGUACACACCGA
rnacentral:rRNA from 1 species